rnacentral:misc_RNA from 1 species
UAAAUUUUCUGUUCAUUCUACCCGCGAAGCUAUUUUAUAGUUUCCAUUUACGUUAGAGUGUUUGCUAAGGAAUACGAGCCUCUGGACUCUGUCUUUCAACGGAAUGGCUAAUAACGCGUUAAGUAACGGACGCAUUCAUCAUACGACGACACCUCAAAGUUUGAACAUCGAUAGAGGCAAGAAAGUUCCAGAUAUACCAGCGCUAGAAUGUCGGAAUUGGUUACUCCAUAAACAUUACACGCGUCAUGAGUACAAAAUUUGUAAAAUACUCAUAGAAGAAGAACUACUACGAACGAAUGGUUACAAUGAAUUCGCCUCUUACUUGAAGGGGUUGAUACUGAGGAAAGAGGGAAAAGUGCAAGACUCCAUGGAUUGUUUCCAAACUUGCUACACUUUGAACGCGCGAAGCGUAGAUAAUGUGAAGCAAAUAGCAAAGUCGCUAUUUCUAUUAGGAAGUCACAAGAGAUCGCUGGAGGCGUAUUUAGAGGCAGAGAAGAUGAGCGCAUUGUCUGACUGGGAAGUUUUUUACAAACUUGGCGAAUGCUACGUUAAAUUGAAUCAGUUGUCUGAGGGGAAAAAGUGCCUGGAGCGUGCGAUCGGACUGACGUCUGACGAAAGACCUUACCGAACUCUCGCAAGGAUUUACCGAGAGGAAAAUCUUGAAUCGGAGGCCGUCAGAGUUUACCUCUCUGCUCUGAGCGCAUCUCCGGAUAACGUUGACGUCGCAGUUGAACUUGGUCUCCUUUACCUCAAGAUGGGUGACACUCAAAGGGCUUUUCAGCAAUUUGGGCUUGCUCUCGCGCAAUAUCCUUUACGCGCCGAAGCUCUUCUGCCGAUGGCUUCCGUGAUGCAGGGUCAUAAGGAGUUUGACGUUGCCUUGUCUAAGUAUAAAAUAGCUGCGCAAGAGUGCCCGGAGUCGGUUUCACUGUGGAACAAUAUCGGCAUGUGUUUUUACGGAAAAAAAAAAUUCGUUGCGGCAAUUAGCUGCCUGAAGCGAGCGCAUUACUUGAACCCUUUGGCCCCUACGUCAGCCUUCAAUUUAGGCGUCGUUCUACUCUCAACCGGGCAGCCCGCUUCAGCGGCAGUUUAUCUUUGUAACGCGGCAGCCUCCGCUAAUUCUAUCAACUUUAAACAAGCUGGACAGACAUACAUGUUGCUGGGAGUCGCUCUCAAGCAGCUUGAGGACUUUAAGGGCGCAGAAAAAGCCAUGAACAAAGCGUACAGUCUUACCCCACAUGAUCCUCUAGUUCUGGUUAACUUCGCGGUGGUAUUGGAGGCGGCAGGAAGGAAACAACGUGCCUUAGAACUGCUGGUAGAACUAGACGACAUCCUUACAACCAUCGGGGCUCCUGUGGAGUAUAAUUCCGAGAUCGUGGAAACAGCCCGGAAACUGUCGGCGAAGUUGAAGCAAAACGAAGAGUCCACACCUAAAGAUCACAAAGCUCCCUUUAUCGAUGACGACGAGGUUUAAUAUCCUCAUUCGAUUUUAUUUCCAUUUUCUCGUCAGUCGGGGUCCUCGACCUUUGUCCGGAAGGGACAUAUGUUCAUAGGGGAAGGAGAGGGGACCCACAUUUGAAAAUUUUUAAUUUUUCACAGAUGCGGCACAGUAAUACCGAAAAACGUAGCAAGAGUCUGAAAAUAAAUAAAACGAAUGAACGAAAUAAAGAUAUGAAACAUUUGUCCUUGAGGGGACAAUUUAGCCCCAUCCCUCCUUUGUAUAAAAAUAGAAAGGUAUACAGGUGUAUAUGACCUAUGCCGGAUAUUAUACUUAUAAUAGAGAUGCUGAAAUUGCGUGAUAUUAUAAGAUAACCGCGCUGCAGAUACGUAAUGACAUUUAUUGAAUAGAAUUCUAGAAUUAUAAUUUUACGCUACGUCAAAUUCAGUUUCCUCGAUACCUAUACCUCUUAGAGAAUUCACAAUACCAAUCAAACGCAGGACUCGAGGAAAAGUUGUGGAAUGGAAAAACUAAUGAAAUGUUAUAAUAUAUAGGUAUAUUCACUGGGCGUAGAACGCCUUUUCAGAUUUUCCAUACGUUCGCGUGGUACCUGGAAAUAUGUGUUUGACUUUCAUUCAAGGAUUUAAAUAUUAACGAAACCUGUGUAACCGAAUACAAAUCACAUGUGUAUGAAUAUUGACGAGUGGAAAAUUAUGGUUACGCAGGGGCUAAUGAGAUCUUAAAUCCUCCCCCGGGAUUCCUCGUGAUUUGUCGUCUCCAAGGGCUCCGAGGCAUCAUUGCGAGCGAAACAAUCACCCGUUGUGAUUUGCGGUCAGCACGUAAGCUUCGGAGCUAACUUCCCUCGGUCACGAGAUUGCAUUUCUCGUUGGAAACUUCCGUUCACUUCCUUUGGGCCCAAUUGUUGGAAAGGAAAAAGUGAAAACUAAAACAAUAAAUAGGGAUGAGAUCAAGGGCAUCUGGUGUUGUAGGUGGAAUAAAAAACCGAAGUAAAACAGAUUAAUGUUCGACAAUUGAUAAAUUUCUCGCAAUACUUUGUCUUCUCUCAUAUCAAGUUUUACCCUCCCAAAUUGAUAUCUAUCUAUAUAGCAACUUUUCACACCGUAUAUCAGUCGGAUAUAAUUGAAAACGUCGAAACGACGAACUGGAUUAUCUUGAAGAGCAUUCAGAAAGCUCGUCCUUUUCAAAUUUUGCCAAGCUUUAUUAUAUCUCCCGUUAAAGAUAGCAGCGGAUUGAUAGUAAUUAAGUUCAAGUGGGUUUGGAAGGCCGCCGCGUUGCUCAAUGAAGCAUGAGGACAGCGACCCGAGGAAUAAGAGGGUGUAAGUAUUUCUGAUCCUCCGUUUUGCGGUUUCUUUCUCAAAUUACUUUAAUACAUGGGUAUAGUACGUACGUUGCGAUAUCUUCGGCAUAAUAUAAUAAAGCACAUGAAAGUAGAGAAUUCAACGUUACGUUUGCAGUUUAACGAUUUUGCACUCGAGUCAAGCGCUGCGAGGCUGGACGUUAUUCUCGAUGUUUAUAAAUUUAUUUAAAUACAAUACGAUAUAGAUAAAGUUUACACAUGUAAUUCACUCCUCGAACACAAUUAUUCAGUCACUCGCUGUAAGCAGCUCAGGUUUUCAGCUGGGCUCAUGAGCUUGAAAAUCCUCGCUGCUCACCCGAUCUCGAUCUAAAAUUCUAAACAUUUUUCUAAUAUACAUAUAUUUAUGUACGUACGUGUAAUCUGUAUAAUUUAAUACAAUCACAUACAUAUAUAUGACGAAGCUGAUACUCUUCUUAUACCUGACUUUAAUCCUAAUUGUACGUAAAAAUUGUUUAUCUUUAUUAUCUUAAAUUGUAACAUCUUGAUUACGGGUCUCGUAAUAUUUGACGUAGAUAAUUGAAUUAAAUCUUCCGACGCUAAUUGCAAGUGCUUCGCUGAAUUUGCGGUUGAAAAAACCAGGUUUAUGAAUGAGGUAAAUUACGUCAAACUGCGUGGGGCCUCUUUUCCGUUUCUCUUCACUCGGCACGUACGUGCACGUUGGUAUCGAUUUUUGCGCAAACGAUAUAAGUUUGGGUUGAAAGCCAGCGGUAAUUAACGAGAUUACGGUAGCUAAUUGAUUUAGUUUUAAUCAAGUGCCUUCCUGAGAUCCAGGGCACGGCUAUGAAAAAAUAGAGAAAAAUAUCUCGGUCGCAGGAAAUGCUUCUUACCUUCCUCUUCGUUCGCCUUGACCCGACCGACGCGACACGCUGGUUCCUCCUAUUGCUCUUUUAUGCUUCUUUUUGCUCUUCACUUUUUCCGGUUCAACAGAAAUUGUCCAAGGGAAAGAAUGAAAGUGUUUUCUGUUCCGUGGAUUCGGUAACAGCCCAUUUUCUCGUCCCGUCCGUAUCACUUCACACACGGUAUGUAUUUUCAAUUUUUCAACCGUGUAACGACGAUCCUCAAUAGGCUGGUCCGGUACUUCGUUCAAGUGGAAUCUAUGAAACGACAAUUUAGAAAGACAAUCCAAGGGAACGCAGCCCUUUGAUUUUCGUGAAUUCGAUUCCAACCCUCCCUGCGCCCAACGUAGGAAUUCGCAAAAAUAAACACGAUCGCUGACUGAGAAUUUGAAAUGUUUUUGGAAAAAAAUCGAGCACGUGGGCGAUUGGCGAGUGACGCCAUCAGCCAAGUCCCCUUUAUUGGGGACGAAUUGCAAUUUAUUUUCAGUCCGGCUUAGGCGCGGUGUUUCGGACAAAGCUGUGAUAAUUGUUGACGCUUGUAAUGUAAUUAUUUUUGGCCAAAACAGUUGACUUGUAUCGGAAUGGAAUUUUAAACGAGGUUAUUCGCCAGGUAAUUGAGGCGAGCAUUGAGGGGUGGAAAUAGCCAUGCUCGUUAUUCAUACGCCUUGUUUUUCAGCGUUCAGCUUUCACCUGUUUCCUCUGCUUUAGGUUUAUU